rnacentral:lncRNA from 1 species
GAUCCGGUGUGUUUUUUUCUUUAGUUUCUUUCUUCUAAUUGACACCAUGACCCUGCACUAAAUUCUGGCUCCGUCACUGUAUUUACGCUGCGUUUUUCUGACAAGUAGUACUGCACGUCAGAUGCAAGUAUAUACGUACCGGCCCAUUUCUUUCUUUCUUUCUUUCUUUCUCGAAGUCUGCCUCUUGUCAUUUUCGAAUGCUAGUACUGUAGUAUACUUAAGAUUUAAGACUUGAUAAGUGGAGAACUCCUCUUUGGUUGCCAAUUUUUUUUUGCCAUUUUUCAAUACGAAAUGUCAAACUUUAAUCAUGACAAUGUGAAGAGCUGCGC